rnacentral:lncRNA from 1 species
AAGGGCUAACUGCAUUGCUGAUUGCUAUGCACUCUCAUGGGUAAUAAUGGCUAACUGAAGUAAUGAUUGUUACACACUCUCAAGGGUGACAAUGAGAAACUGGACUGCUGAUUGUUAACACUCUCAUGGGUAACAAUGCCUACUUGGAUUGGUGAUUAUUGUGCACUCUCAGGGGUAACAAUGACAAACUGGAGUAGAGAUUGUUAUACACUCUCAUGGGUAACCAUGGCUGACUGGAGUAGUGAUAUUUAUAGUCUCCCCUGGUAACAAUGUCUAACUGGAGUAGUGUGCGUUAUACUCUCUCAUGGGUAGCAAUGGCUAAGGUUGGUAUUGAGAAUGUAUAUCAAAAUCUGGAGUGUGAAGAUUUGAAAUGUCAUCAGCAGCUUCCACCUCUUUCUCAGCCACACUUUGUUCUGACUCAGAUACAGCCCCACCUUGUGAUCACCAGAGCUUCAGUGUCUGUGGGCAGCUUUUUAGGAUGCCAAGUAGGUCGGCACAUGAUUAGAUCUCUGGUUUAAAAAGAAAACACUGGUGAUAGCAAGAAAGACGGAUUGGAGGGAGUGCAGACUGGAGUCUGCGUUUACAGCAGAGCUGGAUCAGAUCUUCAUUUCUCCUUUGUUAGUGAGAUUGUCUAAAUUACGUUAUGAAAAUGGGCAGCUCCUCUUUUGCAUUUAUUAGAGAGGGGAUGUUUUAAUUUGAACACACCCACUGCAUUCAGGCUACACUCUUCCAUCACAGGUGAAGUAGCUGAAGCUCAUGGAUCGUGGAGAGAAUGUUGGAGGUUAAUUAGAACUACCACAGUGUGACACACACGCUGUAAACUCUGAUCAAAUUGCACUUUACUAACAUUUGCUUACAGAAUCUACUUUCUCUGCUGAGCAUCUUGAAUUUAAACUGUAUCCCCCCACAGUGUCCAUUUCCUUGCUGCUUUGGAGGCUCCUGUCCAACUUAUUUCCACUCCAUUCCUUUUCUAGACCCAGAGAGAAAUGCAGAGGCACCACAAUUAAAACUUUCCUGCUGCGUCCUUCGCUGUCUCACGCCUAGCUCCCUCUUAUCUCCAGGGUAGGACUUGUCUUGGAUGCCAGCUCACAUCCCAUGGGAGGACAUGAAGUCCCAGCCCCACCUCCUCCAGGAAGCCCAGAGGUGUCUGGUCUGAACUGACCUCUCUUCUUCUAACUGCUGCAGCACCUGCAGGACAGAAUAAAUCAUAUUC